UACGUAGGGUGCGAGCGUUAAUCGGAAUUACUGGGCGUAAAGCGUGCGCAGGCGGUUCGCCAAGUCAGGUGUGAAAUCCCCGGGCUCAACCUGGGAACUGCAUUUGUGACUGCACAGCUUGAGUGCGGCAGAGGGGGAUGGAAUUCCGCGUGUAGCAGUGAAAUGCGUAGAUAUGCGGAGGAACACCGAUGGCGAAGGCAAUCCCCUGGGCCUGCACUGACGCUCAUGCACGAAAGCGUGGGGAGCAAACAGG
rnacentral:rRNA from 1 species